rnacentral:rRNA from 1 species
UACGUAGGGGCCUAGCGUUGUCCGGAAUUACUGGGCGUAAAGAGCUCGUAGGUGGUUUGUCGCGUUGUCCGUGAAAACUCACAACUCAAUUGUGGGCGUGCGGGCGAUACGGGCAGACUGGAGUACUGCAGGGGAGACUGGAAUUCCUGGUGUAGCGGUGGAAUGCGCAGAUAUCAGGAAGAACACCCGUGGCGAAGGCGGCUCUCUGGGACGGUACUGACGCUGAGACGCGAAAGCGUGGGGAGCGAACAGG